rnacentral:rRNA from 1 species
AGAGUUUGAUCCUGGCUCAGGAUGAACGCUGGCGGUAUGCUUAACACAUGCAAGUCGAACGGAUGUUUUCGGACAUUAGUGGCGGACGGGUGAGUAACGCGUGAGAAUCUAGCUUCAGGUUGGGGACAACAGUUGGAAACGACUGCUAAUACCGAAUAUGCCGAGAGGUGAAAGAUUUAUUGCCUGAAGAAGAGCUCGCGUCUGAUUAGCUAGUUGGUGGGGUAAGAGCUUACCAAGGCGACGAUCGGUAGCUGAUCUGAGAGGACGAUCAGCCACACUGGGACUGAGACACGGCCCAGACUCCUACGGGAGGCAGCAGUGGGGAAUUUUCCGCAAUGGGCGAAAGCCUGACGGAGCAAUACCGCGUGAGGGAAGAAGGCUCUUGGGUUGUAAACCUCUUUUCUUAGGGAAGAAAAAAAUGACGGUACCUAAGGAAUAAGCAUCGGCUAACUCCGUGCCAGCAGCCGCGGUAAUACGGAGGAUGCAAGCGUUAUCCGGAAUGAUUGGGCGUAAAGCGUCCGCAGGUGGUUUAUCAAGUUUGCGGUUAAAGGUUCUGGCUCAACCAGAGACAAGCCGUGAAAACUGAUAGACUAGAGUAUGGUAGGGGCAGAGGGAAUUCCCAGUGUAGCGGUGAAAUGCGUAGAGAUUGGGAAGAACACCGGUGGCGAAAGCGCUCUGCUAGGCCAAAACUGACACUGA